rnacentral:rRNA from 1 species
AUUGAACGCUGGCGGCAGGCCUAACACAUGCAAGUCGAACGAGUGGCGGACGGGUGAGUAAUGUCUGGGAAACUGCCUGCUGGAGGGGGAUAACUACUUGAAACGGUAGCUAAUACCGCAUACCCUCGGAUGUGCCCAGAUGGGAUUAGCUAGUAGGUGGGGUAAAGGCUCACCUAGGCGACGAUCCCUAGCUGGUCUGAGAGGAUGACCACGCACACUGGAACUGAGACACGGUCAAGAUGCCUACGGGAGGCAGCAGGGGGGAAUAUUGCACAAUUGGCGCAAGCCGGAUGCAGCGAUGGCGCUUGUACGAAGCAGGCCUUCGGGUUGUAAAGUACUUUCAGCGGGGAGGCGUUACCCGAAGAAGAAGCACCGGCUAACUCCGUGUCAGCAGCCGCGGUAAUAC